rnacentral:ncRNA from 1 species
GGCCAAGUUUUUAAGGGCGCACGGUGGAUGCCUUGGCACCAGGAACCGAUGAAGGACGUGGGAGGCCGCGAUAGGCCCCGGGGAGUUGUCAACCGAGCUGUGAUCCGGGGGUGUCCGAAUGGGGGAACCCGGCAGUCGUCAUGGGCUGUCACCUGCCGCUGAAUGUAUAGGCGGUGUGGAGGGAACGCGGGGAAGUGAAACAUCUCAGUACCCGUAGGAAGAGAAAACAACCGUGAUUCCGGGAGUAGUGGUGAGCGAAACCGGAGGAGGCUAAACCGUAUGUGUGUGAGACCCGGCAGGGGUUGCGCAUGCGGGGUUGUGGGAGCU